rnacentral:rRNA from 1 species
AUUGAACGCUGGCGGCAGGCCUAACACAUGCAAGUCGAGCGAGCGGCGGACGGGCGAGUAAUGUAGGGGGACUGCGCGAUCGAGGGGGCUAAGUACUGGAAACGGUGGCUAAUACCGCAUACUAUCGGAUAACCCAUAGGGGAUUAGCGAGUCGGUGGGGUAAAGGCUCACCUAGGCGACGAUCCCUAGCUGGUCUGAGAGGAUGAUCAGCCACACUGGGACUGAGACACGGCCCAGACUCCUACGGAGGCAGCAGUGGGGAAUAUUGCACAAUGGGCGCAAGCCUGAUGCAGCCAUGCCGCGUGUAUGAAGAAGGCCUUAGGGUUGUAAAGUACUUUCAGCGGGGAAGCGUUACCCGCAGAGGAAGCACCGGCUAACUCCGUGCCAGCAGCCGCGGUAAUAC